UCCGCCCACAGUUGAACCAAUU
rnacentral:miRNA from 1 species